CUCCUGGCCUCUAAGCCCAGCGACCUCCUACCUCCAAUUCCCAUCUCAAUAACGGGAUUCCAGGUGUUACUAUACCCAGACUCGGACAUAGGCUCUGUGGAUAUGAACUCUGUCCUCAUGAUUUUGAGGGCAAUGGUAACGCAAAGGACACAACAUCAACAAUAAACUGGAGCAACGGCAACCGCAGAAAACAUUUUUGAGCGAGGCAUCCGUCCAGGAAACAGGAAUCAACAGACAUGAGAAGGGAGAGGAAAAAA
rnacentral:lncRNA from 1 species